AGGUUGAUGCUGGGAAAGCCAAGAAUAUAGGACUGUCUAACUUCAAUAGUAAGCAGAUAGAGAGAAUUGUUAAGGGGGCACGGAUUCAGCCAGCAAACUUACAAAUUGAGGUUCAAGCAUAUCACAUGCAGAAAAACCUCCAAGAGGUGUGUCAGAAGUUUGGAAUCAGCGUAUGUGCUUUUGGACCCCUUGGUGCUCCUUACAGGGAAGUAGGAACAAGGGAAUUCCCUCCUCUUUUGGAACAUCCAAUUGUGAACAAAAUUGCUCAGAGCCACAACAGGACAACAGCUCAGGUUCUUUUGCGACACUGGUGCAACAUGACAUCAUUGUUAUUCCCAAGUCAGCUAAGGCAGAGCGUGUUGUGCAAAAUUUCCAGGUAAAACUGUAUAAAUUUAUAGUCUACAAAUUAAAUAACUUAAUCCAUGUA